GUAUAAAUGGCGCCGCUGCCCGUUUUCCGGCCUCAUUCAGCUCCGGAUCAGAACGAGCAGGACUAGUUUAACUGGCUGGUUUAUGCUGCUUGAGCUGAUGUGCACAAUCUCUACAGCAUAUCCUUGGAAGUGGUGAAGCGAGAGACAGUAAAAGUUAAUUUGAAGGAUGGUGGACCAGUGGAAUCAAGAGGGGACUUCUGCUGGGAGUGUGAUGAAGUGGUGGGAUGAGGCUGGAUGAAGGGAGAGAAAAUAUUGCGGUGUCAAGCUCUGUAAAGUGUAAAUGGUGGGAAGAUCAUGGAAUCAGUGAAGGAAGAAGCCAGUGUUGGCUGUUUGAAGGCAGUACUACCGGAUUGACUUGCAUCACGUUCAGUUAAUGUGAAUAUUAGAGGCAUGUGUGGAGAACAGCAGUGAUGUGUGGCUUUAAUAAGUAUGUUGCUUUUAAAAGAACAUGGAAUUGCAUGGCUGGAUUCUGCUGGUGGCCGCAAGCAUGGUGGCUGUAUAUUGAGAAUGUUUAAGAGGGAUGUGUCGAGAACAGGAGUGACAUGUGGCUUAAAUGAGAUGAGCAGACCCUGCUGUGUGUUCUGAUGGAUGCUGGAUCAGUGAACUGAAGUGAAAGAGUUUAGGAGAACUCUGGGAGGAAACUGAAGCAGUGGAUGAAGAUGGAUAAAAGUAGCAGGAGCUGUGCUUUCUGGAUCUCCAGUAAAGUGUAUGAAGAUGCGGUGUCUGACGUCUAUACCUGAGGAGGAAGUUGGGCUCUGUUGUUGCAGAUUCUGAUUCGUUCACACCAAUGGUGUCUGAUCAUUGACAGGUGAAGCUGCUGGACUCCUGGAGCUGAACUGAUCUGAUCUGGGGUCAGUUGAAGGAUUCUGGGCGUGACUGAGGGACAGAUGUGCUGGAGUCCAACAUCACCACACUGCUGAUGCUGAGGAAACAGCAUAUUAAAGAGCAUUAAGCAGUGGGAUGAAUCAUUUUUGAGGUGCUGGACAUGUGUGGUCCUCUACUGAAGAUACUGAGAUUGAAAGCAGGAUUGCUGCUGGAACAGGGAGAGCUGGUUCGGAGGCGGAAGCAGCCGUUCUUUUGGGUGUUUUUGUAACUGAUAAUCAAAUGUUUUGCUUUCUUAAUGUAAUAAAGGCCUUUUUUAAGUCAA